AGCGAACGCUGGCGGCAGGCCUAACACAUGCAAGUCGAACGGAUCCUUCGGGAUUAGUGGCGGACGGGUGAGUAACACGUGGGAACGUGCCCUUUGGUUCGGAACAACUCAGGGAAACUUGAGCUAAUACCGGAUGUGCCCUUCGGGGGAAAGAUUUAUCGCCAUUGGAGCGGCCCGCGUCUGAUUAGCUAGUUGGUGAGGUAAAGGCUCACCAAGGCGACGAUCAGUAGCUGGUCUGAGAGGAUGAUCAGCCACAUUGGGACUGAGACACGGCCCAAACUCCUACGGGAGGCGGCAGUGGGGAAUCUUGCGCAAUGGGCGAAAGCCUGACGCAGCCAUGCCGCGUGAAUGAUGAAGGUCUUAGGAUUGUAAAAUUCUUUCACCGGGGACGAUAAUGACGGUACCCGGAGAAGAAGCCCCGGCUAACUUCGUGCCAGCAGCCGCGGUAA
rnacentral:rRNA from 1 species